GUCAGAUAAUUCAGGCAUAUAUCUUUAGGGCAAAGGUGCCCUUAUUGUGGUAGAUCGUCUCCUAAACAAAUUGCUAUAAGUUACCAGAAUUUCCACCUUAUCCAAUUUUAAAACAGGAAGUGGCAGCUUAAAAGGAGAGAAGAAAACAGAGAAGAAGACAACAUUAGGGACGAAACUUUGCCACCCAUAACUUGUACAUUCAACCACGUCUAAAGGAUUAUGAAUUACAAAGUGAUGAGAAGCUGUCCAGUGAGGGCAACUAAGCCCCAUCCUGAAGACCUGUCCCUUCCCCAGAAGAAACGGGGUCUGACCAGGAGCAGUGUCCCCACAUGUUGGCCGUUCCCAAAUCUGAUAUCCUCAACCAAGCAUUAGAAAAGCCAAAUAGACUGGCAGAAGGAAAGCCUGCCUAAGACUCUGCCUAUUACAAGACUUCAUUUCCGGCCAUGAUCCCACCCCUUCCUGUCUCCCCUGUAUCUAACCAAACCCAUUAAUCCUCUUGUUUAGUCUAUUGGUGACUCAGUCUUGAAUGAUCAUUUGUUUUUUUGUUGCAAUUACCACAGUAUAUGGGGUGGACUCCCCAAACCUUUAUACUUGUUUUCUGUG